GCCAGACUCCUACGGGAGGCAGCAGUGGGGAAUAUUGCACAAUGGGGGAAACCCUGAUGCAGCGACGCCGCGUGAGUGAAGAAGUAUUUCGGUAUGUAAAGCUCUCUCAGCAGGGAAGAAAAUGACGGUACCUGAUUAAGAAGCCCCGGCUAACUACGUGCCAGCAGCCGCGGUAAUACGUAGGGGGCAAGCGUUAUCCGGAUUUACUGGGUGUAAAGGGAGCGUAGACGGUGAUGCAAGUCAGAAGUGAAAGCCCGGGGCUCAACUCCGGGACUGCUUUUGAAACUGUGUAACUGGAGUGCAGGAGAGGUAAGCGGAAUUCCUGGUGUAGCGGUGAAAUGCGUAGAUAUCAGGAGGAACACCAGUGGCGAAGGCGGCUUACUGGACUGUAACUGACGUUGAGGCUCGAAAGCGUGGGGAGCAAACAGGAUUAGAUACCCGCGUA
rnacentral:rRNA from 1 species